UAUUUUUUAACAGAUCGUGAAAAUCAGUCAAUCCUAAUCACUGGAGAAUCUGGUGCUGGGAAGACUGUCAACACGAAACGUGUCAUCCAGUAUUUUGCAACAAUUGCAGCCCUGGGUGAGAAAAAGAAAGAGACUGAGAGUAAGGGAACACUGGAAGAUCAAAUCAUUCAGGCUAAUCCAUUGCUGGAAGCAUUUGGCAAUGCCAAGACCAUUAGGAAUGACAACUCAUCCCGCUUUGUAA